AAAGAAGACUACAACACUCGA
rnacentral:miRNA from 1 species